AUUGCUUCUCGGCCUUUUGGCUAAGAUCAAGUGUAGAUCCAACCACUGAAAAUUAGGUCAAUGAAACAAAACAGUUUUUCUUUUGUUUUGUUUUGUUUUGGUACCGGGGAUCAAACUCGGGACCUUGCACUUGUGAGGCAGGCGCCGGAACCACU
ensembl:snRNA U2 U2 spliceosomal RNA